rnacentral:rRNA from 1 species
AGAGUUUGAUCAUGGCUCAGGAUAAACGCUGGCGGCGUGCCUAACACAUGCAAGUCGAACGCGUGCAGCAAUGCACGAGUGGCGGACGGGUGAGGAACACGUGGGAAUCUACCCUUGGGUGAGGAAUACCGGCGAGAAAUCGCCGACAAAACCGCAUGAUCUGCGCAAGCAGCAAAGUCGCAAGACGCCGAAGGAUGAGC